rnacentral:rRNA from 1 species
GACGGAGGAUGCAAGCGUUAUCCGGAAUUAUUGGGCGUAAAGCGUCCGCAGGUGGACAUACAAGUCUGCUGUCAAAGUGCAGAGCUUAACUCUGUAAAGGCGGUGGAAACUGUAGGUCUUGAGUAUGGUAUGGGUAGAGGGAAUUCCCGGUGUAGCGGUGAAAUGCGUAGAUAUCGGGAAGAACACCAGUGGCGAAAGCGCUCUACUGGGCCAUAACUGACACUGAGGGACGAAAGCUAGGGGAGCGAAAGGG